rnacentral:rRNA from 1 species
UACGUAGGGUGCAAGCGUUAAUCGGAAUAUCUGGGCGUAAAGCGUACGCAGGCGGCUUUGCAAGACAGGUGUGAAAUCCCCGGGCCUAACCUGGGAACUGCAUUUGUGACUGCAUGGCUAGAGUUUGUCAGAGGGGGGUGGAAUUCCACGUGUAGCAGUGAAAUGCGUAGAUAUGUGGAGGAACACCGAUGGCGAAGGCAGCCCCCUGGGAUGUGACUGACGCUCAUGUACGAAAGCGUGGGGGAGCAAACAGG